AUUGAACGCUGGCGGCAGGCCUAACACAUGCAAGUCGAGCGGAUGAGAGGAGCUUGCUCCUCGAUUCAGCGGCGGACGGGUGAGUAAUGCCUAGGAAUCUGCCUAGUAGUGGGGGACAACGUUUCGAAAGGAACGCUAAUACCGCAUACGUCCUACGGGAGAAAGUGGGGGAUCUUCGGACCUCACGCUAUUAGAUGAGCCUAGGUCGGAUUAGCUAGUUGGUAGGGUAAAGGCCUACCAAGGCGACGAUCCGUAACUGGUCUGAGAGGAUGAUCAGUCACACUGGAACUGAGGCACGGACCAGACGCCUACGGGAGGCAGCAGUGGGGAAUAUUGGACAAUGGGCGAAAGCCUGAUCCAGCCAUGCCGCGUGUGUGAAGAAGGCCUUCGGGUCGUAAAGCACUUUAAGUUGGGAGGAAGGGCUCAUAGCGAAUACCUGUGAGUUUUGACGUUACCAACAGAAUAAGCACCGGCUAACUUCGUGCCAGCCGCCGCAGUAA
rnacentral:rRNA from 1 species